rnacentral:rRNA from 1 species
CUACGGGAGGCAGCAGUGGGGAAUAUUGGACAAUGGGCGCAAGCCUGAUCCAGCCAUGCCGCGUGAGUGAAGAAGGCCUUCGGGUUGUAAAGCUCUUUCAGAUGCGAAGAUGAUGACGGUAACAUCAGAAGAAGCCCCGGCUAAUUUCGUGCCAGCAGCCGCGGUAAUACGAAAGGGGCAAGCGUUGUUCGGAUUUACUGGGCGUAAAGGGCACGCAGGCGGUCUUGCCAGUCAGGGGUGAAAGCCCGGGGCUCAACCCCGGAACUGCCUCUGAUACUGCAGGACUAGAGACUAGGAGAGGGUGGUGGAAUUCCCAGUGUAGAGGUGAAAUUCGUAGAUAUUGGGAGGAACACCAGAGGCGAAGGCGGCCACCUGGACUAGAUCUGACGCUCAGGUGCGAAAGCGUGGGGAGCAAACAGGAUUAGAUACCCUGGUAGC